UCCACCAACCGCUGACCCACUCUCUCCCCCUUCCCUCGACCCCCCAGAUCCCACCUCCUCCAGUUCCAGCCGCCGCCGCUCGCCUCCAUCCUCUCCCCAACCCCGGUCGGCCUCCACUCCACUCCACCGCCGGUGCCAACCCAACCACCGCCGCCCUCUCCCCUCCUCUCCCCACACCCAAGAACGAGAGAGGGAGAGAGAGCCGACAGCCAGAUCCACUCACCAAGUCCCUCUCUGUCGCCGCCAUCUAGAUCUAGGCCGGACGAUUCCGGAGGCGCGCAACACACUCCUCGACUCCCUCAGGCCUUGCCUUGCCUCGCCACCCCACCCACAUCGCCGUCGCCGACCACUCCCUCCCCCACACGCCUCACCCUUCCUCGGACCACACCGCCGGCCUCCCUUCCCCUCCCCUAACUAGAAGAAGGAGAUGGCGCUCCCUCCCAGAUCCGCCAGCGUUGUCAGACCCGAUCUGGUUUUGUGAAGGAAGGGGCAUGCCAUGGAGAAAAUCCCGCGGGCAUCAGAUCAUCCAUGGCGGCCUAGGAGGAGCACCACCGGCUCAGGUUGCUCCGAUCUGGCUGUGUGAAGGGAACUAGAAAGGCCGAUCUACUGCUGCUGCUCUGCCCCCCUUGAACAAUCUGGUGAAGGACAAGUUGAUCCAUGGAAUUUUGAGCAGCUUCUUCAGCUGUUAUUUUGGUCGUGUGCUUUCAGCGGUUGGUUUGGUCGUGUGCUAGAGCCUAAUUAGCUAUAGGAACAAUUUAUACUUUACUUAAAGAUGUUACUGUUGUGUUGUAGCAAAUUUUAUUUAUGUCUACUGUUUUGUCCAGAUUAGAAAUAUGUGUGAUGUGUGCUUUCAAAAACUAAUGCUAUAUGUAGGCUUAAGAAAUUGAGCAAGGGAAACCAUUAUAUCCCCUUCCUUGUUUUAUAAACUAAAAUUCUGUCGGAUCAUACUAUGUAAAGUAACGGUUCUUUAUUCUGUGUUAUGGCAAAAGAAAAUAUGAUUGAAACAAUUUUGGCACAAGUCUGGUAUUCAUAUGAACCGUGAUGAGAAGCAGUACUCGUUCACUAGAGAGCUAUAAAUAUAAGUCAAAAUACCUGUGAAACAAGAUUUUAAAGGCUUCCAAUAUCUGAACAUUAAAGCUUAGCUGCUGUUGCAUUCUUUACUCUUGUCAAUUGUCUGACUGCAGAGAAACAAACACAUGAGAAAAGUUUCAGGUUGGCCACAUUGACAGUAUAAGUAAUUUGCCACAGCUUAUUACUCCCUGUUCUAUCAUAGGAUUCUCUAUCAGUCCUCUUCUGUCGUAGGAAUUUGCCACAACUACAAUGAAUUGCAAUGUCUCUUUAUACCAGUAAGUUAGUCUGAUGCUAGACUAGACGUCUCUUUAUGCAUGUUUAUUGUCAUGUCUAUUUAUAUGUGUAAAGUUGAAUCAAGUAGUAACAUGUGAACAACACUUGCACUGGUGUAUGUAAGGAGUUAAGUACAUGUUUGUUACAG